rnacentral:rRNA from 1 species
ACGGGAGGCAGCAGUGGGGAAUAUUGGACAAUGGGGGCAACCCUGAUCCAGCCAUGCCGCGUGUGUGAAGAAGGCCUUUUGGUUGUAAAGCACUUUAAGCGAGGAGGAGGCUCUUCUAGUUAAUACCUAGGAUGAGUGGACGUUACUCGCAGAAUAAGCACCGGCUAACUCUGUGCCAGCAGCCGCGGUAAUACAGAGGGUGCGAGCGUUAAUCGGAUUUACUGGGCGUAAAGCGUACGUAGGCGGCUUUUUAAGUCGGAUGUGAAAUCCCUGAGCUUAACUUAGGAAUUGCAUUCGAUACUGGGAAGCUAGAGUAUGGGAGAGGAUGGUAGAAUUCCAGGUGUAGCGGUGAAAUGCGUAGAGAUCUGGAGGAAUACCGAUGGCGAAGGCAGCCAUCUGGCCUAAUACUGACGCUGAGGUACGAAAGCAUGGGGAGCAAACAGGAUUAGAUACCCUGGUA